rnacentral:rRNA from 1 species
UACGAGUGGUCCUAGCGUUAGUCGGAAUCACUGGGCUUAAAGGGUGCGUAGGCGGAUCUGUAAGUGCUUUGUGAAAUCCCCGGGCUCAACCCGGGAAUUGCAGGGCAUACUGCGGAUCUUGAGGAAUCUAGAGGCCGGCAGAACGAUAGGUGGAGCGGUGGAAUGCGUAGAUAUCUAUCGGAAUGCCAAAGGUGAAGACAGCCGGCUGGGGAUUUCCUGACGCUGAGGCACGAAAGCGUGGGGAUCAAACAGG